rnacentral:rasiRNA from 1 species
GAUCAUAUGAAUUGGCUUAUGGAUA